UACGGAGGGUGCAAGCGUUAAUCGGAAUCACUGGGCGUAAAGGGCGCGUAGGCGGCCUUGUAAGUCGGAUGUGAAAUCCCUCGGCUCAACCGGGGAACUGCAUUCGAAACUGCUUGGCUUGAGUACUGGAGAGGGUGGCGGAAUUCCCGGUGUAGGAGUGAAAUCCGUAGAGAUCGGGAGGAACACCAGUGGCGAAGGCGGCCACCUGGACAGUAACUGACGCUCAUGCACGAAAGCGUGGGGAGCAAAC
rnacentral:rRNA from 1 species